AGUAAUGUAUGGGGAUCUGCCUGAUGGCGGGGGAUAACUACUGGAAACGGUAGCUAAUACCGCAUAAUGCCUGCGGACCAAAGCGGGGGACCUCCGGGCCUCGCGCCAUCAGAUGAACCCAUAUGGGAUUAGCUUGUAGGUAAGGUAACGGCUUACCUAGGCGACGAUCCCUAGCUGGUCUGAGAGGAUGAUCAGCCACACUGGGACUGAGACACGGCCCAG
rnacentral:rRNA from 1 species